rnacentral:rRNA from 1 species
UACGUAGGAUCCGAGCGUUGUCCGGAAUUACUGGGCGUAAAGCGCGCGCAGGCGGCCCGCGAGGUGUCACGUGAAAGCCCCGGGCUCAACCCGGGAGGGUCGUGGCAAACCGGCGGGCUUGAGGCCGGUAGAGGUGGGUGGAACUCCUGGUGGAGUGGUGAAAUGCGUAGAGAUCAGGAAGAACACCCGUGGCGAAGGCGGCCCACUGGGCCGGUACUGACGCUGAGGCGCGAAGGCGUGGGGAGCGAACGGG